AACGGAGAGCGGGAAGCAGACGACCAAGGCUUUGUCGUCGAUGUCGUCUGAAGAACUCCUAUUAAAAUUAAACAGAGGCCGGACUCGAAUUCUCAGAGGAAGAAAACAGAAAAUUCAAAGAUUUUGAAGUUGAUGGGGAAACUGUCAGUGCUGGUCUCACGGAUCACAUGAUAGCACAACUUUUUGAGAAGUCUUUUAAGAAGCAAGUUAAAUUUAUCAAACUUAUCCAACAACUUGAAGAGAACCAGAGUGAAGAACUGUCUGAAAGUCUGACUACACCUUCAGCUUUGAGCCAAGAGCAAAGAAUUUCAGCCCCAUUCCUCGUCUUCUCACUACCAAAUUCCCAAAGGAUGUUCAGUUAAAAUUGGAUAACAAAGAACCAUGUCAUAAGAUCAGCACUUACCGGCAUAAAAUUGUACGAGUGCUGCACGAGACUAUGGCUCAGCACACACUAUAUCCUUCAAACAGUGACUAUGUUUGUGCAGUCAAGGCUCUUAUCUCCAAAUACCCUUACCUGAGAGAUGCAGAGGGAAAUGGAUAUGAAGAACCAGCCACACCAUAUCCCACUGUACAGAUUUUGGGAGCGUCUAACUGGAAACAGGUCUUCAGCCAGAAGAGAAUUUUCAGCACUGUGAAAAUGAAGGGAUCUUUGCUGAGCAGUUGGGAUGGAGAACGGUGUUCUCUCUGCUUUUUGCACGUAUUUUGUAUUCAACCUUUCGUCCCUCAUACAACAGGAACACACAUCUCUUUCUCCAAAGGCAUGUGUUGAAGCUAACUGCACCUGGUGACAAACCAUUGCCAACUGCUGUCGUCAGGAUUA
rnacentral:lncRNA from 1 species